rnacentral:rRNA from 1 species
UACGUAGGUGGCAAGCGUUAUCCGGAAUUAUUGGGCGUAAAGCGCGCGCAGGCGGUUUCUUAAGUCUGAUGUGAAAGCCCACGGCUCAACCGUGGAGGGUCAUUGGAAACUGGGAAACUUGAGUGCAGAAGAGAAGAGUGGAAUUCCACGUGUAGCGGUGAAAUGCGUAGAGAUGUGGAGGAACACCAGUGGCGAAGGCGGCCUUCUGGGUCCGCCCUGACGCUGAGGCGCGAAAGCGUGGGGAGCGAACGGG